rnacentral:miRNA from 1 species
AGCGGCGAGAGAACAGGAA